AUUGAACGCUGGCGGCAGGCCUAACACAUGCAAGUCGAACGAGUGGCGGACGGGUGAGUAAUGUCUGGGAAACUGCCCGCUGGAGGGGGAUAACUACUGGAAACGGUAGCUACUACCGCAUACCAUCGGAUGUGCCCAGAUGGGAUUAGCUAGUAGGUGGGGUAACGGCUCACCUAGGCGACGAUCCCUAGCUGGUCUGAGAGGAGUACCAGCCACACUGGAACGGACACACGGUCCAGACUCCUAGGGGAGGCAGCAGUGGGGAAAAGUGCACAAUGGGCGCAAGCCUGAUGCAGCCAUGCCGCGUGUAUGAAGAAGGCGUUCGGGUUGUAAAGUACUUUCAGCGAGGAGGCGUUACUCGCAGAAGAAGCACCGGCGAACUCCGUGCCAGCAGCCGCGGUAAUAC
rnacentral:rRNA from 1 species